AACGUACGCUGGCGGCACGCCUAACACAUGCAAGUCGAACGCAGUAGCAAUACUGAGUGGCAAACGGGUGAGUAUAAUGUGGGAAUCUGCCUUUUGGUUUGGAAUAACACGGGGAAACUUGUGCUAAUACCGAAUAAGCCUUUACAGGGAAAGUUUUAACGCCGAAAGAUGAGCCCGCACUUGAUUAGCUAGUUGGUAAGGUAAAAGCUUACCAAGGCAAUGAUCAAUAGCUGUUCUUAGAGGAAGACCAGCCACAUUGGGACUGAGACACGGCCCAGACUCCUACGGGAGGCAGCAGUGGGGAAUCUUGCACAAUGGGGGAAACCCUGAUGCAGCGAUGCCGCGUGAGUGAAGAAGGCCUUUGGGUUGUAAAACUCUUUCGUCGGGGAAGAAAAUGACUGUACCCGAAUAAGAAGGUCCGGCUAACUUCGUGCCAGCAGCCGCGGUAAUACGAAGGGACCUAGCGUAGUUCGGAAUUACUGGGCUUAAAGAGCUCGUAGGUGGUUAAAAAAGUUGAUGGUGAAAUCCCAAGGCUCAACCUUGGAACUGCCAUCAAAACUUUUUAGCUAGAGUGUGAUAGAGGUAAGUGGAAUUUCUAGUGUAGAGGUGAAAUUCGUAGAUAUUAGAAAGAACACCAAAUGCGAAGGCAACUUACUGGGUCACUACUGACACUGAGGAGCGAAAGCAUGGGUAGCGAAGAGGAUUAGAUACCCUCGUAGUCCAUGCCGUAAACGAUGUGUGCUAGACGUUGGAAAUAUAUUUUUCAGUGUCGCAGCGAAAGCAUUAAGCACACCGCCUGGGGAGUACGACCGCAAGGUUA
rnacentral:rRNA from 1 species